rnacentral:rRNA from 1 species
UGCCAGACUCCUACGGGAGGCAGCAGUGGGGAAUAUUGGGCAAUGGGCGCAAGCCUGACCCAGCGACGCCGCGUGAGGGAAGACGGUCUUCGGAUUGUAAACCUCUUUCAGCAGGGAAGACAAAAGGACGGUACCUGCAAAGGAAGCACCGGCUAACUCCGUGCCAGCAGCCGCGGUAAUACGGAGGGUGCGAGCGUUAAUCGGAAUUACUGGGCGUAAAGCGCUCGUAGGCGGUAUGUCAAGUCAAGGGUGAAAUCCCCGCGCUCAACGUGGGAACUGCCUUUGAAACUGGCAAACUGGAGUGUGUGAGAGGAUAGUGGAAUUCCAGGUGUAGGAGUGAAAUCCGUAGAUAUCUGGAGGAACAUCAGUGGCGAAGGCGACUAUCUGGCACAUAACUGACGCUGAGGAGCGAAAGCGUGGGUAGCAAACAGGAUUAGAUACCCUCGUA